rnacentral:rRNA from 1 species
UACGUAGGGUGCAAGCGUUGUCCGGAAUUAUUGGGCGUAAAGAGCUCGUAGGCGGUUUGUCGCGUCUGCUGUGAAAACGCGAGGCUCAACCUCGCGCCUGCAGUGGGUACGGGCAGACUAGAGUGCGGUAGGGGAGAUUGGAACUCCUGGUGUAGCGGUGGAAUGCGCAGAUAGUCAGGAAGAACACCGAUGGCGAAGGCAGAUCUCUGGGCCGGUGAACUGACGCUGGAGGAGCGAAAGCGUGGGGAGCGAACAGG